rnacentral:rRNA from 1 species
CCUUCCGGAACAUUGAGACAGGUGCUGCAUGGCUGUCGUCAGCUCGUGUCGUGGGAUGUUUGGUUAAGUCCCGUAACGAGCGCAACCCUUGUCCUUAGUUACCAGCACGUUAUGGUGGCCACUCUAAGGAGACUGCCGGUGACAAACCGGAGGAAGGUUGGAUGACGUCAAGUCAUCAUGGCCCUUACGGCCCGGGCUACACACGUGCUACAAUGGUCGGUACAGAGGGUUGCCAAGCCGCGAGGUGGAGCUAAUCCCAUAAAACCGAUCGUAGUCAGGGUCGCAGUCUGCAACUCGACUGAGUGAAGUCGGGAUCGCUAGUUAUCGCGAAUCAGAAUGUCCCGGUGGAUACGUUCCGGG